GGGUUGUGAGGUUAAGCGACUAAGCGUACACGGUGGAUGCCCUGGCAGUCAGAGGCGAUGAAGGACGUGCUAAUCUGCGAAAAGCGUCGGUAAGGUGAUAUGAACCGUUAUAACCGGCGAUGUCCGAAUGGGGAAACCCAGUGUGAUUCGUCACACUAUCGUUAACUGAAUACAUAGGUUAACGAGGCGAACCGGGGGAACUGAAACAUCUAAGUACCCCGAGGAAAAGAAAUCAACCGAGAUUCCCCCAGUAGCGGCGAGCGAACGGGGAGCAGCCCAGAGUCUGAAUCAGCUUGUGUGUUAGUGGAACGGUCUGGAAAGUCCGACGGUACAGGGUGAUAGUCCCGUACACCAAAAUGCACAGGCUGUGAACUCGAAGAGUAGGGCGGGACACGUGGUAUCCUGUCUGAAUAUGGGGGGACCAUCCUCCAAGGCUAAAUACUCCUGACUGACCGAUAGUGAACCAGUACCGUGAGGGAAAGGCGAAAAGAACCCCGGCGAGGGAGUGAAAAGAACCUGAAACCGUGUACGUACAAGCAGUGGGAGCACCUUCGGGUGUGACUGCGUACCUUUUGUAUAAUGGGUCAGCGACUUAUAUUCUGUAGCAAGGUUAACCGUAUAGGGGAGCCGCAGGGAAACCGAGUCUUAACUGGGCGUUAAGUUGCAGGGUAUAGACCCGAAACCCGGUGAUUCAGCCAUGGGCAGGUUGAAGGUUGGGUAACACUAACUGGAGGACCGAACCGACUAAUGUUGAAAAAUUAGCGGAUGACUUGUGGCUGGGGGUGAAAGGCCAAUCAAACCGGGAGAUAGCUGGUUCUCCCCGAAAGCUAUUUAGGUAGCGCCUCGUGAACUCAUCUUCGGGGGUAGAGCACUGUUUCGGCUAGGGGGUCAUCCCGACUUACCAACCCGAUGCAAACUACGAAUACCGAAGAAUGUUAUCACGGGAGACACACGGCGGGUGCUAACGUCCGUCGUGAAGAGGGAAACAACCCAGACCGCCAGCUAAGGUCCCAAAGUCAUGGUUAAGUGGGAAACGAUGUGGGAAGGCACAGACAGCCGUGAUGUUGGCUUAGAAGCAGCCAUCAUUUAAAGAAAGCGUAAUAGCUCACUGGUCGAGUCGGCCUGCGCGGAAGAUGUAACGGGCUAAACCAUGCACCGAAGCUGCGGCAGCGACACUAUGUGUUGUUGGGUAGGGGAGCGUUCUGUAAGCCUGCGAAGGUGACCUGUGAGGGUUGCUGGAGGUAUCAGAAGUGCGAAUGCUGACAUAAGUAACGAUAAAGCGGGUGAAAAGCCCGCUCGCCGGAAGACCAAGGGUUCCUGUCCAACGUUAAUCGGGGCAGGGUGAGUCGACCCCUAAGGCGAGGCCGAAAGGCGUAGUCGAUGGGAAACAGGUUAAUAUUCCUGUACUUGGUGUUACUGCGAAGGGGGGACGGAGAAGGCUAUGUUAGCCGGGCGACGGUUGUCCCGGUUUAAGCAUGUAGGCUGGUUGUCCAGGCAAAUCCGGAUAAUCAAGGCUGAGGUGUGAUGACGAGGCACUACGGUGCUGAAGUAACAAAUGCCCUGCUUCCGUGAAAGCCUCUAAGCAUCAGGUAACAUUAAAUCGUACCCCAAACCGACACAGGUGGUCAGGUAGAGAAUACCAAGGCGCUUGAGAGAACUCGGGUGAAGGAACUAGGCAAAAUGGUGCCGUAACUUCGGGAGAAGGCACGCUGGUGUGUAGGUGAAGCCCCGGGUGGAGCUGAGACCAGUCGAAGAUACCAGCUGGCUGCAACUGUUUAUUAAAACACAGCACUGUGCAAACACGAAAGUGGACGUAUACGGUGUGACGCCUGCCCGGUGCCGGAAGGUUAAUUGAUGGGGUUAUCCGUAAGGAGAAGCUCUUGAUCGAAGCCCCGGUAAACGGCGGCCGUAACUAUAACGGUCCUAAGGUAGCGAAAUUCCUUGUCGGGUAAGUUCCGACCUGCACGAAUGGCGUAAUGAUGGGCUGUCUCCACCCGAGACUCAGUGAAAUUGAACUCGCUGUGAAGAUGCAGUGUACCCGCGGCAAGACGGAAAGACCCCGUGAACCUUUACUAUAGCUUGACACUGAACAUUGAGCCUUGAUGUGUAGGAUAGGUGGGAGGCUUUGAAGCGUGGACGCCAGUCUGCGUGGAGCCAACCUUGAAAUACCACCCUUUAAUGUUUGAUGUUCUAACGUUGGCCCCUGACCGGGGUUGCGGACAGUGUCUGGUGGGUAGUUUGACUGGGGCGGUCUCCUCCCAAAGCGUAACGGAGGAGCACGAAGGUUAGCUAAUCUGGUCGGACAUCAGGAGGUUAGUGCAAUGGCAUAAGCUAGCUUGACUGCGAGCGUGACGGCGCGAGCAGGUGCGAAAGCAGGUCAUAGUGAUCCGGUGGUUCUGAAUGGAAGGGCCAUCGCUCAACGGAUAAAAGGUACUCCGGGGAUAACAGGCUGAUACCGCCCAAGAGUUCAUAUCGACGGCGGUGUUUGGCACCUCGAUGUCGGCUCAUCACAUCCCGGGCUGAAGUAGGUCCCAAGGGUAUGGCUGUUCGCCAUUUAAAGUGGUACGCGAGCUGGGUUUAGAACGUCGUGAGACAGUUCGGUCCCUAUCUGCCGUGGGCGCUGGAGAAUUGAGGGGGGCUGCUCCUAGUACGAGAGGACCGGAGUGGACGCAUCACUGGUGUUCGGGUUGUCAUGCCAAUGGCACUGCCCGGUAGCUAAAUGCGGAAGAGAUAAGUGCUGAAAGCAUCUAAGCACGAAACUUGCCCCGAGAUGAGUUCUCCCUGAGACUUUAAGUCUCCUGAAGGAACGUUAAAGACGAUGACGUUGAUAGGCCGGGUGUGUAAGCGCAGCGAUGCGUUGAGCUAACCGGUACUAAUGAACCGUGAGGCUUAACCUUACAACGCCGAAG
rnacentral:rRNA from 1 species